UACGGAGGGAGCUAGCGUUGUUCGGAAUUACUGGGCGUAAAGGGCUCGUAGGCGGCCAACUAAGUCAGACGUGAAAUCCCUCAGCUUAACUGGGGAACUGCGUCUGAUACUGGAUGGCUUGAGUUUGGGAGAGGGAUGCGGAAUUCCAGGUGUAGCGGUGAAAUGCGUAGAUAUCUGGAGGAACACCGGUGGCGAAGGCGGCAUCCUGGACCAACACUGACACUGAGGAGCGAAAGCCAGGGGAGCAAACGGG
rnacentral:rRNA from 1 species